GGCAGUCGAGUGGACUCCCUCAGUUUACCAUGGACCGAGUGAACAAGCCCUCCCCUCUGAAGCUGAUUCCGGAGGAGAAAGCCGACGUGAAGAUGUUGAUGGAGCGAGUGGUGCAGCUGGUUCGGGACGGAGUGACAGGCAUGGACCUCUUGGAGGUUUUCCUCAAGCGCCGCAUCCAACCUCUCCAGUUCCGGAGCCACUGCAUGUGGUUGUACUGUGGGCCCGCGGACGAGACCAGAGUCCAUCCAGAAGAAGUCGACGACGUCACUUUGGAAAGGUGGAUGGUAGCCGUUACCGGGAACAGGGACAACCCGCGCGGAGCCAGAAGGAUUCCUCCACUCGACCACGACAGCGUCCCAAACAAGGUACACUUGCUCUGCUUUCCGUCGUGUCUUUGUUGUAUUCAUUUCUGCCGAUCCUGUCGACUGGUCGACUGAUCGUUGUUUGGGCGACUGCUAGGCCUUCACCGAGCUGUACUCGAUGCCCAAUGGGGCACAAGCUUCGACUGAAGAAGGCGAGGCGAGCGGGGGCGAGGCGAGCGGGGGCGAGGCGAGCGGGGGCGAGAGCCAGGGAGAGGAGGAAUGGGACUCGGAUGCUGCAGGGGAUGACGACGACGAUGAUGAUGAUGAAGGUGAUGAAGAUGACCUCGAGGACGAGGAAGAAGAGGAGGAGGAGGUCGUUCCACCGCGCUCAGAAAGGCGGUCGAAACUUGUCCACGACCCCUCGACCGAACGUGGUAAGGGGGUAGCGACUGCUUCCCAGUCGACCAAGCGCCCUCGGACCACCUCUCCGGCGCCGACUGAAAAGGCGCCGAAGCAGCCCAGGGCGGCCUCAUCGAAGCCGACCAAGCUUCUGCCGAAGAUGAAGGUGUCCAUCCCCACCAUUUCAGGGUAAUUGUGUUGUUCAUAUUUUCUUAUUCUUAUGCGAACUUUAUCUCUGGUCGACACUGAUGUUAGUCGACUGAUCCUUUGGAGUUGCAGUGCUGCUACUUCUGAGACCUCGGCCCGGGCCGAUGACCACGAGAUGGAGGAUGCCGCAACUUCGAAUCCAGGUGCCGUGUUCUUAAUACCAUUCUUAGUCGACUGACUCGCGAUCUCUGAUCCUGACACUUCUCUGCAGCUCCACCCAACACUGUUAUCGAUCUACCUGAUGAUGAUGAGGAUGAAGAGCCGCUGAAGCACAGGAGGAGUCGGAAAGCGCCUGCCGGCAAGGUGUCUCAGGAUGUGUCAGCGCCUGAAAUUCUGACCGUGGAGGGAGAGAACACCACUCGACACACGGUGACCUUCGCGACCCCACUGACGAGUGCUCAGCAGCCUUCCCUCUUCACGACUCACCACGUCCCAGAGGACCAAGCUGGUGCGGCGAAGGAGGCGAUACGCCAGGCGGGACUCAUGAUGGAGCAGCUGAAGACCAUCCGGGAUGCGAGUCAAGCAGCUUAUGACGCCAGCUCUGCCCUCCAAAGCAAUGUCCAGGUCAGUCGACUGCUGUUUGUUCUGCUGGAUAUGCUAUCAAAAACUUUUCUUUUCCGGGAUUUAUAUUGGUCACCCACUGGGAGUGUCGAAUAAACUCCGUGUUAGCGGGGGCACGCUGAGUGCACCCGCUGGGUGUAGUCCCCAAGGCUAAGGUCGACUGCUGGCAGUCGGCCUUAGGCUUUAUAAUGUCACUCUUUCUAUCAGUCGACUGGUCGACUGGAUUUCGCAAACCGGUGGGGGCACGCUGAGUGCACCCACUGGGUGUAGUCCCCUAGACUGUGGUCGACUGCUUGCAGUGGAUCACAUUCUUAGGUAAUGCGUCUCGCACACUGUUUUUUUUUUGAGGUCGACUGGUCGACUUUGUCUUCGACAGGAUUAGUGGGGGCACGCUGAGUGCACCCACUGGGUGUAGUCCCCGAGACUACGGUCGAAUACUUGUAUUCGGCUGUAGUCUUAGAAACGUGUGUUUUUCCCUUUUUCACUCGGAAGUGAAUUAUUUUUGACGUUUGGUCGAUUGGUUCUUCGCAGAACUCCUGUGAUCUUGUGGCUCGCUACUCAGAGCUAGAACAGAAACACACUCAAGUCGAGCUGAGCUUGAAGCUGGUUCAGGAGAAGCUGACAAAGGCGAAGGAGGAGACUGAAGGUAUGUUUGGUGAGACCUUGACGACUGCUUUUCCUCUUGCUUGUUUCAACAUCUGAUCAUGAUGUGUCUUGCAGGUAAGGUAAAGGAGGCCCAGCAGAAGAAAGACCUUGAGCUAGCUGAGAAGAUCAAGCUUGCUGACGAGAAGUUAGCUUCAGUCACCAAGCUUGAACAAGACAAUACCAACCUGAAAACUGCUCUUGGGAUUGCCAACAAAGAAGUCAGUCGACUGAGAACUGACAAAGCUGCCUUGACCGAUCAAGUCAGCAAAUUGACUAAGAAGAAGACUGCGCUGGAGGCCUUCCUGAGUGGCUUUGCCAAGAAGCUGUUUCUUAUGCUCGAAGGUAAACCUCCAUGUUUGGCAAAUAUUUCUGACUGUGGCUUCUCCCAUUCGACUAUCCCCUUGACUUAGUGAUCACUCUUGCAGAAUUUUGUCAAAACUUUGAAGAAGAAACCAGCCGACUGGAGCCAAACCUUGACCCUGUCAAUUCUCCGGUGAAUGACGAGGUUGCCAUGGAUAUCUUCCGACUGGAAUCUCGCGUUGCAUCCGUCGUGGACUAUCUCGCAAGGCUGAAGGCCGCCACAUCUCGCAUCGACUCGACGCUCUGGCCUGAGGAGACACUUCAGAAUGACCUUGAGUCAUUAAUGGCCCGCUUGAACACGAUCCCUGGUCGAGUGCAGGAAUGGAAGAAGUCCUCAGCUCGGUGUGGUGCAGAUGUUGCUCUGUGUCUGGCCCGAGUCCACUGCAAAGAUGCACGAGAGGAGAAGCUGGCGGCUCUUCGGGUGGCCAAUACCAAGAAGCACGACUUCAGGUCCUUUAUGGAGACUUUCCUUGCAGCUGCCACUCGGAUCGCCGACGGAAUUGACCUUGAUGAAUUCGUCGCACCUUCCAGCCCUCCACAGGAGGGGUAAAAAACUGCUUAUGGCUCGACUCUUUUAAAUUUGCCUCGGUAUGCCGAGUGGAAUUGUAUCCGACAAACUUUAACAAGCUUGACGCCUGAGCACUUUCGGUUCCUUUAGACAUCGAUUCAAACUUGAAUUUGGCGCUUGAAUAUGAUUGCCUUCGGCUCAAAAUGUUCUUUGCAGGUUCAAAGCUAGGUGCCUGUGCUUAGGCGAGCGCUUGGACUGCAGCUAAGCCUUCGAGCGUGAGGAUCGCUCUUCACUCGGUAGGGUUUUUAUAACUUAGGCGAGCACGAGGCUGCAGCUAAGCCUCCGAGUGGAAGGCUGGCUUACCACUCGGUAGGAUUUUGAUAAACUUAGGCGAGUGCUUGGACUGCAGCUAAGCCCCCGAGUGAGAGGAUUGCUCACCACUCGGUAGGAUUUUUAUAACUUAGGCGAGCACGAGGCUGCAGCUAAGCCUCCGAGUGGAAGGCUGGCUUACCACUCGGUAGGAUUUUGAUAAACUUAGGCGAGUGCUUGGACUGCAGCUAAGCCCCCGAGUGAGAGGAUUGCUCACCACUCGGUAGGAUUUUUAUAACUUAGGCGAGCACGAGGCUGCAGCUAAGCCUCCGAGUGGAAGGCUGGCUUACCACUCGGUAGGAUUUCCAUAACUUAGGCGAAACGGAUUCGUAGCUAAGCCUCCGAGUGAGAGUCUGGCUCACCACUCGACAGGAUUUUUCCAAACUUAGGCGAAACGGAUUCGCAGCUAAGCCACCCACUGAGGGGGAGUUUUUAUGUGGACAAAAAGAAAAAGUGCUGACACAAUUAUUUCUAAACCCAUGAAUUACAGAAGUUCUUUAUUGCAACUCAUCCGAGUGAUACAACUUAAGUGUAAAACGGGCGGAGUAGCUCUGCGUUCCAAGCUCGGGGCUCGUCGAUAUUAUGCUCGACGUUGUAAAGACGGUAUGCCCCGUUGUGGAGAACCUUGGUGACGAUGAAAGGGCCUUCCCAAGAAGGAGCAAGCUUAUGUGGUUUGUGCUGAUCCACUCGGAGAACCAGAUCCCCUUCCUAGAAGGCUCGACCUCUCACAUUUCGAGCGUGGAAACGGCGCAGAUCUUGUUGGUAGAUGGUCGACCGGAUCAGAGCCAUCUCCCUUUCUUCCUCUAAAAGGUCGACUGCGUCCUGCCGCGCUUGUUCAGCUUCUGCUUCGUUGUAGGUUUCGACUCGAGGAGCAUUGUGGAGAAGAUCACUUGGCAAGACUGCUUCGGCUCCAUAGACCAAGAAGAAUGGAGUUCUUCCGGUCGACCGAUUGGGCGUGGUCCGCAGUCCCCAGAGCACAGAUGGAAGUUCAUCGACCCAAGCUCCAGCAGCGUGUUUGAGAUCACGCAUCAGUCGCGGUUUCAGCCCCUUGAGAAUCAGUCCAUUAGCUCGCUCUGCUUGUCCAUUCGACUGCGGAUGGGCGACCGACGCGUAGUCGACCCGCGUGCCUUGGGAGUUGCAGAAGGUUCUGAAUUCCUCUGAGUCAAAGUUCGACCCAUUAUCCGUGAUGAUGCUGUGCGGGACUCCAUAUCUGAAUACCAGUUCCCUGAUGAAGCUAACAGCAGUACCGGUGUCGAGGCUCUUGAUCGGUUUAGCUUCGAUCCACUUGGUGAACUUGUCGACUGCCACCAGUACAUGCGUGAAGCCACUUCGUCCUGUUCUCAAAGGACCGAUCAUGUCCAGCCCCCAAACUGCAAAAGGCCAGACGAGUGGGAUGGUCUUCAAAGCUGACGCAGGCUUGUGCGACAUAUUCGAGUAGAACUGACAUCCUUCGCACUUAUCUACUAUGUCCUUUGCCAUCUCAUUCGCCUUGGGCCAGUAAAAUCCGGCUCGGUAUGCUUUGGCCACGAUGGUCCGAGAGGACGCAUGAUGACCACAGGUUCCCGAGUGAAUAUCGUUGAGGAUGAGUCGACCUUCUUCUGGUGUAAUGCACUUCUGUCCGACUCCAGUCGCGCUCUCUCUGUAUAAUUGUCCUUUGAUGACGGUAAAGGCCUUAGAUCGACGGACGAUCUGUCGAGCCUCUUCCUCAUCCUCCGGAAGUUCUUUCCUCAAGAUAUAUGCAACAUAUGGAAUCGUCCAGUCGGGAAUGACUACCAAAACCUCCAUGAUCAAGUCGACCACCGCUGGGACUUCAACUUCAGUCGGAUCUGUGGCACUCUUGGGCUGCGGAGUUUCUUCGGUGAAAGGAUCUUCUUUGACUGAUGGAGUAUGUAUAUGCUCCAAGAACACACCACUCGGAAUGGCUUCUCUCUUGGAACCUAUCUUUGCUAGAUCAUCAGCUGCUUGAUUCUUCAGUCGGGGUAUAUGAUGGAGCUCCAACCCCUCGAACUUUUUCUCCAGCUUCCUCACUGCAUUGCAGUAUCCAGUCAUGGCUGGGCUUCUUACGUCCCACUCUUUCAUCACUUGAUUGACCACUAAAUCCGAGUCACCAUAAACCAUUAGGCGACGGACGCCGAGUGAAAUGGCCAUGCGCAAUCCAUAUAGGAGGGCCUCAUAUUCCGCCUCAUUGUUGGAGGAAUCAAAGUGAAUCUGGAGCACAUAUCUGAGCUUAUCUCCUCUGGGGGAAACCAGGACAACCCCAGCACCGGAACCAUUCAACAUCUUAGAACCAUCGAAAAACAUGGUCCAAUACUCCGAGUGAACUUCAGUCGGCUGUUGCUGUUCGACCCACUCGGCUAGGAAAUCUGCUAUUGCCUGGGACUUAAUGGCUUUCUUUGCCUCAAACUUGAUAUCAAGGGGAAGAAGUUCAAUCGCCCAUUUGGCCACUCGACCAGUUGCAUCUCUGUUGUGCAAAAUCUCUGAUAGUGGAGCGUCGCUGACGACUGUGAUUGAAUGGUCAGAGAAAUAAUGAGCAACCUUCUUUGUGGUCAUGUAUAUUCCAUAUACAAGCUUCUGAUAAUGAGGAUAUCUCUGCUUGGAUGGAGUCAAGACUUCAGACAAAUAAUACACUGGGCGCUGAACUUUGAGAGCUUUUCCUUCUUCUUCCCGCUCGACCGUUAGCACAGUACUGACGACUUGUCCUGUGGCUGCGAUGUAGAGCAACAGAGGCUCUUUGCUGAUUGGAGCAGCAAGCACCGGCUGGGUGGAGAGCAGAGCUUUUAGCUCGGCAAACGCUGCAUCAGCUUCUGGAGUCCACUCGAACUUGUCAGCCUUCUUCAUCAGUCGGUAAAGAGGCAGUGCCUUUUCACCGAGUCGUGAGAUGAAUCGACUUAAUGCGGCCAAGCAUCCAGUAAGCUUCUGGACAUCGUGCACUCGCACGGGGCGUUUCAUUCGGAGAAUAGUGCCAAUCUUUUCUGGGUUGGCGUCGAUUCCCCGUUCGGAAACGAGAAAACCGAGUAACUUGCCACCAGGAACCCCAAAUGUGCACUUUGAUGGAUUGAGCUUGAUAUCAUACCUUCUGAGGUUGGCAAAUGUUUCGGCGAGGUCAGCGAGCAGGUCGGAACCUUUUCGUGACUUGACAACAAUAUCAUCCAUAUAAGCUUCCACAUUCCGACUGAUUUGAGUGAGUAGACACUUCUGAAUCAUUCGCAUAAACGUGGCUCCGGCAUUCUUGAGGCCGAACGGCAUGGUGAUAUAGCAGAAGCACCCGAAUGGAGUGAUGAAAGCUGUUUUUACUUCAUCGGGUCCAUACAGACGGAUCUGGUGGUACCCGGAGUAAGCAUCUAAAAAAUACAACCUCUCGCACCCCGCGGUCGAGUCAACAAUUUGAUCUAUGCGUGGGAGAGGAAAGUGAUCUUUCGGGCAGGCCCGGUUUAUGUGCUUGAAAUCAAUGCACAUUCGGAGCGACUUGUCCUUCUUAGGAACCAUGACGACAUUAGCGAGCCACUCGGAGUGGAAUAUCUCUCGGAUAAAUCCUGCCGCCAACAGUCGAGCCACUUCUUCACCAAUGGCCUUUCUCUUCUGGACGGCGGACCGCCGAAGAUGUUCUUUUACUGGCUUUGCAGACUUGUCGACUCGUAGGCGAUGCUCAGCCAGUCCCCUGGGAACACCUGGCAUGUCAGCGGGCUUCCAUGCAAAAAUGUCCCAGUUCUCACGGAGGAACUGGAUGAGCGCUUCUUCCUAUUUUGGGUCGAGUGUUGUGGAGAUUCGGGUCGGAGCUGCUUCGGGGUCGGUCGGGUGGAUGUGAACAGGCUUCGUCUCACCGGACGACUGGAAUGCAGAUUCUGUGGCGGGCUUCUUGGAUCGCAGCAAGUCACUCGGAUCUGCGUUUUGCUUGUAUUCUUCGAACUCGACCGCUGUCACUUGGGAAUCGGCAAUUUUGGAGCCCUUCUGAAAGCACUCCUCUGCCUUUUUCCUAUCUCCGGUGACAGUGAUCACACCUUUGGGACCGGGCAUCUUCAACUUGAGGUACACGUAACAUGGUCGAGCCAUGAACCGUGCAUAGGCUGGCCUCCCCAAAAUGGCAUGAUAUGCACUUUGAAAAUCCACGACCUCAAACGUCAACUUUUCUUUGCGGAAAUGCUUUGAAUCGCCAAAUACUACGUCCAAAGCUAUCUGGCCGAGAGACUCAGCCUUCUUCCCUGGUAUAACUCCAUGGAAGCUCAUGUUACUCGUGCUCAAUCGGGACAUCGGAAUGCCCAUACCUUUCAGCGUGUCUGCAUAUAACAGAUUCAGCCCACUUCCACCGUCCAUCAGCACCUUUGUCAGUCGAGUGCCUUCGACAACUGGAUCGACCACCAACGCUUGCCUCCCAGGGGUGGCAAUAUGAGUCGGGUGAUCAGAUUGGUCGAAUGUGAUGGGUGUUUGAGACCACUUCAGAUAAUUUGCCUUCGCUGGGGCAACCAUGUUAACCUCUCGGUUAAUUACUUUCAGUCGACUUCUGCUUUCCACAUCUGCGAAGAUCAUCAGAGUGGAGUUGAUAUGCGGGUAUCCUCCCUCACUGUCUUCUUUGUCUUCGGCUUUGUCCGACUCCUUCUCCUUGUCCUUAGACUGUUUUCCCUGAAACUGCUGGAUCAGGAGUCGACAUUGGCGAGUGGUGUGCUUUGGGUAAAUGAUAUUGCCCUCUUCAUCUUUCUUCGUGUGAAUAUGACACGGCAUAUCCAUCACGUCGUUCCCUUCUUUAUCCUUCACCUUCUUGGGGUUCCAGGAUCCUUUUGGUUUCCCCUUAGACUUUCCUUGAGUCACGGCCAGAGCCUCUCCAGGAGCUGCCGGUUCAGCCUUCCGCUUCUGUUUCCGACUGGAAUUUCCUUUUUCCGACUGACUCGGCUUGUGCUUGCCGCUUCGGAGUCGGUCUUCUUCUUCGCCGUUGGCGUACUUGGUAGCAAUCUCCAUCAUCCGACUCAAGGUCAUGUCACCGGUUCGACCAAAUUUCAAGCUGAGUUCUCUGUUCUUGACACCAUCUUUGAAGGCGCACACUGCCUGAUGGUCAGAGACAUUUUCCACUGUGUGAUGCAAAGUGAUCCACCUCUGAAUAUACUCUCUGAGAGUCUCAUUGGUUUUCUGCACGCAGACUUGCAACUCUGUCAAUCCCGCUGGUCGCUUGCAAGUCCCUUCGAACGUUCUGAUGAACACUCGGGACAGAUCUUCCCAAGUGUAAAUACUGCUAGGAGGUAAUUGGGUCAACCAUGCCCUGGCAGAACCUUCCAACAUGAGGGGCAAAUGCUUCAUGGCCACCUCGUCGUUCCCACCACCGAUCUGAACUGCCACUCGGUAGUCUUCAAGCCAAGUUUCAGGCUUAGACUCACCAGUGAACUUGCUGACUCCUGUUGCCAACCUGAAAUUGGGGGGAAUAACAGCGGCUCUGAUAGCUCUGCUGAAACAUUCAGGACCAGAAACAUGUACUCGACUGCUCGUGGGCACUUCUCUGUCGAGUGCACCACGAUGGGCUCUGUUCCGGUCGACCAACCCUUGCACGAUAAUGGAUCGCGCGUCGAAGCCUGGCUCCCUGGGGUCAACUGGAACUCUACGCCCUGUACUGUACUGACGCCUAUCAUCUGGCUGCCGAGGAGCGUAAGACCCACCCCUCGGAGGGGAAUAGGGCACUCGACGCCUAUCAUCUCGGUCGAGCCUGUCGCCAUAUUGAUCUCGCCGAUGCUCAUGCCCUUCGCGCCGCGGAGGCGAUCUGGGGCUGUGAGCCGACUGUACCGUAUUCACAGUGACAGAUCGACUGUGAAUUCUGUUGCGUGACUGAGACACGGCUGAAUUCUGAUCUCCUGCUGCCCGGAGUAGAUCCCUGAUCUGCAGCAAACCUCUGCCAGCUUCUGACUGCGAAGGCUGAAUGGACUCCGCUAUACGGGUUGCAGCUGCUAAAUUCUGAAUCGGGGUUCGAUAUACCUGAGUCGGCGGGAAGAGUUGACGUCGACUGGUGUCGGGAACUCGUUGCCGCGCGCGCUCGUCGAGUGCUCGCUGAAGGUUCUCCAGUCGAGUGCGCUCGGCCAAAUUGGCCAGACGCGCCUCCUCCAAGGCACGAGCCUCGGGGGUUUCUCCUGCGAUAGGAAUACGCAGGGGAUCCUCGUUCCUGCGGCGAAGCUCUUCUCUUUGCAGAGAGUCGAGCGGCUCGGGCUGGUACUCUUCGUAACCUCGAGCAGGGUCGCCGCCGUCACCUGCUCCACCACCGCGGGCGAAGCCGGGAGGGCUAUGAGGCCCGUCGACCAUCAGGAUUUCCGCCGCUGGAUCACUGCUUCCGCACUCGGAUGCAGUCUCUCCGGAGCCAGUCGACUGAUCGAACAAGCCGUAGAGAGAUUCGUUGGGCUCGAUUGCCGCAACUUGUGUAGUGGUCGUCUGGCGAGCCACCGCGUGACUCACCCAUCGCUGAAGCCUCGACCGGCCCGAACGCUUGCGCUGGCGAGAGACCGGGAGGGUGGAAGGAACCGACCGAUACUGGGUCGACGGUUGCCGCAGCAGAACGCCGCGGACACAUGCGCAGAAAUGCGUCGCACCGCGGACGGGGAGCGCAUCAACGUCGAGCGGAGCCUCUUGGAGCCAUGCGGAGUCGUCGGCGAUGAAGGUGAGAGUGCCGAGACGGAACUCUUGACCCUCGAUCAAAACUCCAGCAGACACCAUGAUGAAAAUACUCGGAAGAAUCGCAACUUCUCCACAAAAUCGCUAAAACACCGGCCCCACGGUGGGCGCCAACUGUCGUGGUUCUAAGACUGACAGUAGAGUGGGGGGUAGGUAUUGAGAGGCAAGGUCCUAGCUAUGGAGAGGUUGUAAACACAAAGGAUGUACGAGUUCAGGCCCUUCUCGGAGGAAGUAACAGCCCUACGUCUCGGAGCCCAGGGGCGGUCGAGUGGAUUACGAAUGUAUGGAUUACAAGGUGCCGAACCCUUCUGCCUGUGGAGGGGGGUGGCUUAUAUAGAGUGCGCCAGGACCCCAGCCAGCCCACGUAGGAGAAGGUUUAAGGUGAGUUAAGUCUGGGGCGUUACUGGUAACGCCCCACAUAAAGUGCCUUUACUAUCAUAAAGUCUACUUAAUUACAGGCCGUUGCGGUGCAGAGUGCCUCUUGACCUCCUGGUGGUCGAGUGCGUCUUCGUGGUCGAGUCCUUCAGGCCAGUCGAGUGUGUCCUCGUUGGUCGACUGGAUCCUCGUUGGUCGACUGGAAGGCGACCUCUUCUAGGGAUGUCCUAGGGUAAGUUACUUGGGACAGGUCCGUGACCCUACCCUAGGUACAUAACCCCAUCAGGCGUCUUCCUUCCUAUCCCAGUUGUAUGUCCACCCUCGACACGCAACUAAGGCCCAACCCAAUUUUGUCUUAGUUGCAAGUCCAACUACACCCCUAGAUGCACUUGGGGGGCCGCCUUUUUCUUCUAGUUGCCAUUACAUCCUUAAUACGCAACUAGGGGCCGACCAAUUUUGCCACAAUCGUAACUCCACCCUUGGCACGCAUCUAGGGGGCCAACCCAUUUUUUUGUGUCAGUUGCAAUUCUAUCCUCGACACGCAACUUGUCUUGACCGAGUUGUCACCCUUGACUCAGAACUCAAUCAACCUAGUUGCAUGUGCACCCUCGAUAUACAACUAUUCCCGACCCAGUUGCAUGUCCACCACCGACACACAACUCACCCCGACCCGGUUGCAUGUCCACCCUCAACAUACAAAUUUGAUUAUUUUAUUUUUUGAUUAUUUUCUCCGCCAUGCAACUUAUAAAAUUUUCACUGUGUUUUAAGAAAAUCAUCAUGUAUUUAUAAAGUCUUCAUCAUGUAUUUUGAAAGAAAAUAUUCACCUCGUCUUGAAAGAUCUUCGCCAUGUAUGUUAAAAGGUCUAUCGUAUAUUUUGUAAAAAAAAUUAUGUGUGUCUUUAAAUUUGUGACAAUUAAAAUUCAUGAACAAUUUUUAAUUUUGCGUUUUUUUAAUUCUCAAACAUUUUUCAAAUUUGUGAUUUUUCUUAACCAAAUGAACAUGUUUCUUAUUCAUGAACAUUUUUUGAGUUUGUGAACAUAUUUUCAUAUUCAUGAAUAUUAUCCAAAAUUCAUGAACAUUUUUUUAAAAGAGCAUUUUUGAGACCCAAAUACACUAAUUUGUUUGAAAAGGAAAAAGAAAUCCCUUUUUUACGUGCCCUGGCAUACAGUUCCUGAACCCUGUUCUGAUGUCCUACAAUUUCUCAAGAACUUCACAGAUUCAGCGUCUGGGCUUGGCUGGGAUUUCGUUCGGUAGCAGCGCUGGCUUCUCGCUACAGCAACUAUUUUUUAGAACUGCAGCCCAGCUGGUGGGCGUUUCCUAUUUAGCGCUGCGCUGGCCCAUCACUCUGCAUUUUUGUACGCAAAAAACGGGCGCGCUCACAGAAAAUCGAACCAGCGACCAAACUCGCGCAGCUUCGUUCGUACAACCACCGGGGAACUGACUCUGCUUUCCGUCGGCGUCCACGACCUAGCGGGUGGCGGUGGCGGCGGAGUCCACCGUUUCCUCCGGCGAUUAGUUCGCCGGAGUCCACCAUUUCCUCGCGUUCUGCCGGCUCUCCCCGGUAGAGCGGGAGUCUCCGAGGGCCCAAGGAGGCGCGGGGUGAGCUCGUAUGGCGGAACCACCGGUGACAGGGGGAGGAAGUGGGGGUGCGAUGGAAGACAAGGAGAGGAUGGCGGCGCAGUCCGACCCUGUGGUCGAAGAGGAGAACCACCUGGGAGACGGUGGUAAGAAGGGGGCCGCAGGGAGUGGAGGUGGAAGCCAGGGGCAGGAGGGAGCAGAGGGGGAGUACCAUGCUUGGGGACCUCCCGCAAGUCUUGAGGAUAGAUUUGAAGGUCUGCACCUGCGUGGAGAGGAGGAAGUUGAACUCGAUUUCAGUGCUGAAUUUGAAGAUCUAGUCAAGGACAUUAGGUGGCUGGCGAUAUUCAGAGUUCAUACAACUCGUCAGUUCAGCCAUUCAGCUCUGUACAACGCGAUGCGCACGACAUGGUCGUCGGCCCAACAAGUUAUCUUCAAACCAAAGGGUCUCAACCUGUUCAUUGCACAAUUCAGUUGUUUGGGGGAUUGGAAGAGGGUGAUGGACGGUGGCCCCUGGUUGUUUAGGAACGCGGCUGUUGUGAUCCAGGAAUAUGACGGGUUUAGCAAUGUUAAUGACUACAAGCUGGAUAAGAUCCCAGUUUGGGCAAGAAUUGAAGGGGUGCCGGAGGGUUUGAUGCGGAAGAAAGAGCUAGCAGAGAAGGUAGCCCGCAAGGUGGGAGAACCGCCAAUAACGGUGGUAGUGAAUGAAGGCUUCAUCAACACGUCUAAAUUUCUUAGGGCCAGAGUGUUUCUUGAUGUUCAUGUGCCUCUGGUCAGGUUUGUGCCCAUAACCUUGAAGGAGAGGAAAAAGUACCCAGUUUACUAUGAAAAGCUUCCCGACUUUUGCUACUUUUGUGGCCUGAUGGGGCACUAAGUGGAGGAGUGCGGGGAUGGCGUUCACGAUCCUACUGCUUGUGAAUGGGGAGACCGGCUUCUGUGGAACUUUGAAAAUACUUUGCCAAAACAGAAUGGGGGGGAGAGGAGGAGGCAGAGGUGGGGGAGAUAGGGGAGGAAGUGUGUCAGGAGGGAGAGGAGGUUGGGGUCGAGGGAGCAUGGCUCGUGGCAGCACCAAAAGUGAUACAAAUGAGGCCACUGAAAUGGAGUAUAGUACUCAAGAUGUUAGAUAUGGUACUGACCCGGGACAGCGUGGAGCAAGGAAAAGGCUGGUUGGCCCGGAUGGCACGGUCAAUGCAAACGGGGCUGAUGCAGUUCCUAUUAUGCCGGGCACUAUUGCUGGAAAAUUCUUCAGAUUGAGGCAGCUCCAGCAGCGAAUGACGCAAAUGCAGGGACCCCUGGCAAGCAACUUAUUGUAAAAAGGCGUAGGCAGGGAGAUGAUGGAGCUGAUGGUGAAGUGGAUCCUAUAACUGAGGCGGCAUCCCAUGUGGAUGGCCGCCAAACCCAAUGAGAACAUUGUGCUGGAACUGUCGUGGGAUUGGCGACCCCGCGACAGUUCGUGAGCUCCGGGAGCUCAUACAGGAGUGUGCGUCGUCGGUGGUUUGUAUUGUGGAAACACAGUUAUCAAAACAGCGUGUGGAAGGCCUGACGGCGAUGUUAGGUUUUGAAGGUGGUUUUGCGGUGGCUAGUAGAGGGAAGAGUGGAGGCUUGGGUGUUUUCUGGAGGCAUGGUUUGGACUUUAGAGUCAAGAACUUCUCAAGGUAUCAUAUUGAUGCUUGGGUAGCCGAAUCGGGAAAGGAAGAUUGGAGGCCGACGUGUUUCUAUGGAGAGGCCAACAGAUCACUUAGGCAAAAUACUUGGAACACUAUGGCUAGACUGCGAGGUGAAUCAACCCUUCCAUGGUUAUGUAUCGGGGAUUUCAAUGAAAUUUUGAGAAGAGAAGAACAAUUGGGGCCGAACGAGCGGGACAGUGCUCAAAUGGAGGGAUUUAGAGAGGCGGUGGAUGUAUGCGGUCUGGCUGAUAUUGGCUAUGUGGGGCUUGACUGGACAUUCGAAAAGAAGGUUCAUGGGGGACAAUUCUGUCGUGUACGCCUUGACAGGGCACUUGCAUCGCCAGACUGGAGUGCCAUGUUCCCCUUUGCAACUCUUCGUCAUCUUCAAGCAGCAAAGUCGGAUCACUCUCCGAUUGUUUUAGGUAAUGAUCUUGAUGAUACAAACAACCGCAUUGCAAUAAAAAAACCUUUCCGUUAUGAGCGCAUGUGGGAGACCCAUGAUGAUUUUUUUCCUCUGAUUGAUUGCUUGUGGUCAGCGGAGAAAGGAGAGACACUUCAGGAACUAAAAUCGAAGUUGGAACAGCUUGCUGAUUCCCUGGCAAGAUGGGGAUCCAAAACCUUUGGGUAUGUUCGAGCUGAACUUAGAACUCUGAAGCGGCGGUUAGCUGAGCUGAGAGCUGAUUCUUCGAGAAAUGGACCAUCACAUGAGGAGAUUAAAGUGCAUGAAAGGAUAGUGGAGCUGAACUUCCGGGAAGAAAUCAUGUGGAGGCAACGUUCCCGUAUCCAAUGGCUCGCUGAGGGUGACAGUAAUACACAAUUUUUUCACCAGAAAGCAACAAUGAGAAAGAGGAGAAACCGUAUAUCUCGGCUAACAAGGGAAGAUGGUACAGUUUGCUCUGAUGAGGAGGAGAUCAGAGGUAUGGUAAGAGAUUUUUAUAAAAAUUUAUAUGCUUCGGAGGGCACUGUAGGCAUGGAGGAGGUGUUGUCACACAUACCCAGAAAGGUGGAUGAGGAGAUGAAUGAUAUGCUAUGCGCUCCAUACAAAGAUUCGGAAGUCAAGGAAGCCCUUUUCCAAAUGUUCCCAACCAAAGCACCGGGCCCUGAUGGCUUCCCAGCGCAUUUCUUUCAGAAAAAUUGGGGUGUUUGUGGGGAGGAAGUAACCAAGGUAGUACUAAGAGUGCUUAAUGGGGAAGAGUCUCCGGAGGUGGUUAACAGGACGUUUAUCGUUAUGAUCCCUAAGGUAUUGAAUCCAACCACCUUAUCACAAUUUCGACCGAUUAGCCUGUGCAAUGUGAUUUUCAAAAUCAUAUCAAAAGUUCAGUCCAAUCGGUUGAAGAGGAUUUUACCAGAGAUUAUUUCACAUGAGCAAUCAUCGUUCGUACCGGGGCGAUUGAUCACUGACAAUAUCAUAGCAGCUUACGAGUGUUUACAUUUUAUGAAACGCUCAAGAAGUAAGAAGAAUUCGCACUGCGCGUUAAAACUGGACAUGAUGAAGGCGUAUGAUCGCGUUGAGUGGAGGUACUUAGAAGCAGUUUUGGAGAAGCUUGGUUUCAGACGCUCUUGGGUGAUGAAAAUCAUGGCGUGCGUAUCAACGGUUUCUUUCUCGGUGCUUGUUAAUGGUAACAGAACAGAUGAGUUUAUACCAACCCGAGGAAUCAGGCAGUGAGAUCCAAUCUUCCCAUAUUUAUUUCUUCUGGCAGCGGAGGGUCUAUCUUGCUUAUUAAGGUCGAGGAGUAGCAAUGAGCAUGUGAGGGGCGUGGUGAUUGCCCCAACCGCCCCUCCGGUUAAUCAUCUUUUAUUCGCUGAUGAUUGUCUUCUUAUGUUUAAGGCUAAUACCGAGGGAGCAAUUGUUAUGAGAGACACCAUUCAACAAUAUUGUGAUGCAUCGGGACAACGAAUCAACCUUUCAAAAUCAAGCAUUUUCUUUGGUAAGGGUUGUCCGGAAGAGACUAGGAAUGUGGUGAAAGGCAUCCUCGAGGUCACCAAUGAAUCUCUUUCUGAGAAAUAUUUAGGGCUGCCGACCGAGGUUGGCAAGUCAACGAACGGGGCCUUCAAGUACACUAAAGACAGAUUAUGGGGUAAGAUUCAAGGGUGGAUUGAAAAGUGCUUGGCGGCUGCUGGAAAGGAGGAGCUCAUAAAGUCCGUUGCCCAGGCCAUAGCCACCUUCUCAAUGUCAUGUUUUCUGCUUCCAAGAGGGUUGUGUCAAAACAUUGAUACUAUGAUCAGAAAAUUUUAUUGGGGAAGCAAGGACGGAGAAAGAAAAGCUACCUGGGUAUCAUGGGAUGCCCUUACAAUGCCUAAAUACAGGGGUGGAUUAGGCUUUUGUGAUACUCACUUGUUCAAUCUUGCAAUGGUAGCAAAACAGGCUUGGCGCCUCACUCAAGACACUGAGUUCCUUGAGUGCCCGCCUAUUGAAAGCAGUUUACUUUCCUUCCUGUGAUGUACUUGAUGCUGUUUUGGGGAAUCAUCCAUCUAAAAUUUGGCGAGCUAUCAUGGAAGGGAAGGAAGUUCUCAAGCAGGGACUUGUGAGGAGAAUUGGUGACGGCAGGUCCACUAGUAUAUGGAAUCAUAACUGGAUCCCGAGAGACCACAUGCUGCGUACAGUACAUCCUAGGUCUCCAAAUCCGCCGGAGUUGGUGUCUGAGCUUAUUAAUGGAGUUGAGAGGUGCUGGAACCGGGCGACAGUCUUGCAUCAUCUGCAGCCCAUUGAUGCCUGUGAGAUCCUAAAUAUUCCCCUGGCAACUAUCCCUUCCGAGGAUUGCUGGGCGUGGCAGUAUGAACGAAAUGGACAUUUUUCAGUAAGAUCAUGUUACCGCAUGCUAAAGGAGACAAAACAGGGGAGAGAGGACUGGCUAAACGGGAAUGGAAGGAACUCGGAUUACCAAUCAAACAAGAAAUAGUGGUGUAGGCUUUGGGGUGCAAAAAUUCCAGCCAAACUGAAAAACUUUGUGUGGAGGCUCUCCCAUAACUCUAUACCGACAGAGGGAGUCAGACAUCAUAGACACAUGGCAGAAAAUGAUGUCUGCAAAAUAUGCAAUGGUGUUGUGGAUAGCUGGAAGCAUGCGCUGAUAGAAUGUCAUAUGGCAAAGUGUGUUUGGGCCAUGGUUGAUGAGGAGCUAGUCCAGCAUAUGGUAACGAUUACCACUGAUGAUGCUCGAUUAUGGCUAGUGGAGCUACAAGGUACAUCGAACGAAGAACAAUUCAUCAAGGCAGUGGUCACGUUGUGGUCGAUAUGGUGGGUGCGCAGGAAGGCCAUACAUGAAGAGCAGUACCAAUCACCCCAUUCAACACUUUGCUUCAUAAAUAGAUUUAUUGAGGAUCUGUCUUUUAUCCCUCAAAAGAAGCAUUCUGUGCAACAGGUUAGCUCAAGAGCCAAUGUACAGGCAAAGAAAUGGCUACCUCCCAGGUACGGUUGGGCGAAGGUGAAUGUUGAUGCUGCAAUUUCUCGAAAUGCCGAGAUGGGAGCUGUGGCUGCUGUUUUGCCGUGACUACACUGGCCUUUUCCUGGGAGCAUCAGUGUUGGUGGUAGACAACCUGCAUCCGGAAACCCUGGAGGCGAUGGCCAGCAAUGAGGGCCUCUCGUUGGCCCUCGAUCUCAACAUACAGAAAGUCCAGAUUAGCACAGACUGUGUGGCUACUGUCAAUCACAUCGGAGAGCCUUUUCUAGGCCCAAGUAAAGUUAUCGUGGAGGAGAUCAAGAUGAAGCUUCAGAUGUUUCCAGAAUCUGAAGUCAUCCACGAGAGACGUGAUCAUAAUUUCGAAGUGCAUAUGCUUGCGAAAGCUGCUACUACUUUAGGCCCGGGAUGCCAUCUUUGGCUAACAGGAACCCCAAACAUAAUUUGUAUUCCUAUGACUGUUGAGUUUUAAUAUAGCGGCUUUCAGCCCUAAAAAAAACACCGGGCAACUCCUAUUCGCCACGUUCUGCGGCAAGUAGUCGUCCCUUCGCACAGGACGCGCGGCAACUGGGCCGGCCCAUUCGAGUUGAACUGAAGCGAGUUGUCUGGCGAAAAAUGGACAAAAAUAAUAAGACACGGGAGCUGGGAUUCAAACUCUAGACCAGCUGCUUGUGCAUGUAUUGAGUUAACCAGUACACCAGGAGAAUGUUCUUAACAUACUGAGCAGAAGUAACUUAAAAGAACUUUCUUCAGUGGCGAAAACUGAACAUUACUUAGAAAAUUGCAAACAAUGUUAGAAAUUUCGAACGUUUUAUUGAAGUUACGAAUAAAUUAAGAAACGCGAAUAAAUUUAUAAAUUUCUCAUCAUCUUUCUAAACUACGAAGAAUAUUUCAAAAUCUGGAACAUUUUUCAAAUUUGUAAAGAAAACUCAAAAAAAUGGAACAUCUUCCAAAAUUUUGAACAAUUCAUUUAAAACUCAAUCAUUUUCCAAAUAACAUUUUUGGAAACAUGAAAAUGCCCAGAACAUUUUUUGAAAACUUAAUUUUUUUGGAAUUGGUGAACAAAAUUUAAAAUGGGGACAACUUUUUAAAUUCAGAACAAGUUUUUUAAACUGAGAACAAUUUUGAAAAGGAGAACAUUUUUUAUAUACGUGACCAAACAGUUGAAACGGAAACUUUUUUCUAAUGCUUCGAACAUUUUUUGAAAGUGCGUACAUUUUUUAUAUAGGUCAACAUUUUUCAGCUGCGUAAACUGAACAUGAUUUAAAAAACUAAGAACAUUUUUUGAAAAAUUUGAAAAACAAGAACAUUUUUUCAUUCAUGAACAAAGAUUUGAAAAUAAGAACAUUUUUUGAAAUUUGUGAACAAUUUUUUUGGACUUGGUGAACAAAAUUUUAAAAUGGGGACAACUUUUUAAAUUCAGAACAAAUAUUUUUUAACUGAGAACAAAAAAAGGAGAACAUUUUUUAUAUACAUGACCAAAUAGUUGAAACGGAAACUUUUUUCUAGUGCUUCGAACAUUUUUUGAAAGUGCGAACAUUUUUCAGCUGCGUAAACUGAACAUGAUUUAAAAAAUAAGAACAUUUUUUGAAAAAUUUGAAAAACAAGAAUUUUUUUUAAUACAUGAACAAAAAUUUGAAAAAUAAGAACAUUUUUUGAAAUUUGUGAACAAUUUUUGAAAACAGGCAUUUUUUAAAUCUAUGCCAUUAAUUUUCAAAUUUCUCAAAAAAUGAACAAAAAUUUUGAACAAUUUUUGAAAAAACAGGAACAUUUUCUGAAAAUUCGGAACAAAAAUUUGAAAGCAGGAACAUUUUUUGAAUUUAUGAACAAAUUUUGUGAAAUGAAAACAUUUUUUGAAUUUUUGAAAAAAUUCUGAAAAACAGAAAAAAAAUUGAAAUUCAGAUUUUUUUUGAAAAUAAACUUGAAAAGAAAAAAAGAAAAAAAAAGAAACAGAAAAAAAGAAGAAAAGUAAAAGAAGAGAAAUAGAAAAACAAAAAACGAAAAAGAAAUUGAAAAAGAAAAAGGCGGUUCAGGAACCUUCUAGAAGGUUCCCAAAACCGGAAAAAACCUACUGGAAACAUCGUAGAAGGUUCCAAAAACCGAGGUCUGUUGGAACGCUAAACAGGCCGGCCCACUCGGUUGCUCCCUCGCACUUGCCCUGUGCGAAGCGUCGACUACUUGCCGCAAUGAGCGGCUUGCGGCAAGUAGGAUUUUCCCAACCACCGCGCCAGGAAGUGGGAUAUGCUAAGCUUCAACUCUUUAUUUCAUUUCUUGUUUCUUUUUGUUUAUGUUUUCCUUUUUUUCAUUUCCCUUUUUUCCAAUUUUGUUUUCUGUUUUUUCCCUUCUUCUUGCUGGUUUAUUCCCUCAUUGAUUUUUUUGUUUUUUUUCCUAAUGCGUGAACUUUUUUCAAAUCGAUGGUGUUUUUUUCAAAUUUGAUGAACUUUUGCUUUCAAAAUCAAUGAACUUUUUACUAUUGUUAGUGAACUAUUUUUAACAAAUGAUGAUUUUUUUUUCAAAUUCAAUACAAUUUUAAAAUUCGAUGAACUUUUUUUAAAAUUCAAUGAACUUUCUUAAAAUUUGAUGAACUUUUUUCAAUUUCGAAAAAUUAUUUUUAAUUUCAAUGAAAUUUCUUCAAAAUCGAUGAACCUUUUCUCAAAUCUGAUGAACUUUUUUCAAAUGUGAUGAAGAAUUUUCAAAUUCGUUGAACUCCUUUUCAGAUCUGAUGAACUUUUUUUUUGAAAAGUUGACGAACUUUUUCCAAAUGAAGUGAACUUUUUUUCAAAUUUGAUGAACUUAUUUAAAAUUGGAUGAUGAAUUUUCAAAUUCGAUGAAUUAUUUAUCAAAUCCGAUGAACAUUUUUGAAAAGUUGAUGAACUUUUUUUAAAUGUGAUGAACUUUUCCAAAUGCAGUGAACUGUUUUUCAAAUUGAUGAACAUUUUUCAAAUCCGUGAAGUUUUUUUUCAAACUCAUGGUUGUUUUUAAUUGUUGUGAACCUUUUUGAAAAAUUUGUGCACUUUUUUUUUCCAUUUUCAUGAACUUAUUUGAAUACAUGAACCUUUUUACAUUGGCCACCUUUUUUAUGCAUGUUCGUCAACUUUACAAUCUUUUUUACAUUUUUUCCAUACAUUAACGUUUUUCAUCAAUGUUUUCAAAUAAUUAAAAAAUCUAAGGGAGAUAAGUAGCGCUGCCACACUAGUUCUUAAGUAAAGUCACGUUGAGGUGAAACAGUAGCAGCCAGUUGGGGUACCCGUUCGCUGAGGUGAAACAGUAGCAGCCAGUUGGUGUACCCGUUCGCUGAACUCGAAGACGACUGUGAGGUCGCGUGUUCGAUUCACAGAGGGCUACCUUUUUAGAUGUUUUUCGCACAAUAAUACAAUUAUUUUCUCCAUGCGCGUUCGUGGGCCGGCUGGAGGCGCCGAGUAGGCGCUCCCCAGCUGGUGGGACUGCAGGCUUGCUCGCCCAAGCUUGGGCCGGCUGGAAGCAGCCCAUUGCGGGUCCAAAGUGCAGCCCACAGGCUGAAAGAGAGAAAGGAUGGCUAGGCUGAUUUUGAUGUUUUUUUCAGAGGAGCAAUUUUCCUGUGAUUUUGUGGCUGCACAGAGAGCUAUCCAGAGAGUUAUUUUUAGUACCGUAGUGUUCAAAAAUAACACAAAUGUAUUUUUCAAACUAUCACUAGUAUUCCCAAUUAAGACAAGUUAUAACAAUGAUGAAUGACUAGUUUUGUCAUGUGUCGUACAACAAAAGCUUCAUGAACAUAUUGUGUCAUAUUUGCAUAUAAGUUUGCAAAUCAAAACGGUCACACAUCUAAAGGCAUGAACACGAUCACUUCACCAACUAAGAGCAAUGGCGGUAGCUAGUUCGUGUCUAAACAAAUCCAUGUUAGGACCACUUCCUGCCGGUGUUGAAACAUCCGAUGCAUCUGGAGGAAUAACAUUCUUCUUGUAUCAUAGUUGGAACAUAAUCCGGAUCUCUCUCACAUCGAAGAAAGUGGAGAUCCUCUUUGUCAUCGAGACAUACGUAGUUGUGUCUUCAAACUUCAUGAACUUGCAAGGGCCACUAGACCAACACGCUUGGAACCUCCACGCUGUCAAACAAACUGCAACUCCAGUUCUGCUUCGAUACUGGCACCUCAAACCUAUGAGAAGGCUAAUCAGAUGAUACCAUUGCAGUGGAGCUAAGAGAUUUUUGAAGAAAAAGGAGAUGACAUAGGUGCGUCGAAGCACGAUGGGCACUUGGCUUGCCGGCCAACCAACGCUUCACCUUCAAGUCUGGCAAUUGAGAUGCCUAUAUAGCAUUGCUACCCGACCUAGUAGAGCAACGAGGAAUACAAUGAACACUAGUGACAAGCGACCAAAAAAAAGUACUAGAACAUCAUCUACGGAAACAAAUGAAUGAAAAUCAAGAACACAACACAAAAGUGAUGCACCAUUAGCACAUUGUUUUCUACAGAGUAACUAGAUUGGCACCAGGCUUGGAACGUAAGGGAUUAACUCGUAGCUAUAGACAUUUUCUUUUGGGUACUUAACAUGUGUGUUUGAAUCUGGAUGGUGAUAGAUCAAGUCAUACAUAGUAGCCACAUGCCUAACUUCAGUCCUUCUAUGGUUUGGCUAUCAUAACACAUGAGAUUGUAAGAUUCUCCUUGGAACAAUAUAUGUUCAUUAGACAUGGUUAUCAUUAGGUGUAUAUGGCAUGGGACAUUCAUGACAUGACGCCGAACCCAUCAUGGCGGAUUGGAGCCAUCCGUCCCAUGUUAAUUGUCGUUGAGAUAGAUAUAUCUAGACAUAUUUCAGUACUAGAUAAAUCUUUUUAAGCAACAAUGAAUAUGGGACCGAGUAAUUUUGUAGUAGCCCUAGUUGCAAGUUGAACCCUCGACUCGCUACCGGGGCUUUUUUCUAGUUGCAGGUGCUUCAGUUGCAAGUCAACCCUUGACUCGCAACUGCGUCUUUUUUCAUAGGUUGUAGGUGCACCCCUGGCCCUGACCCCUCAGUUGCAAGUCAACCCUCGACUCGCAAUUUGCUAUUUUUCAUAGGGUUGUAAUUGCAUAGAGGGGACCCGGCCCACUUGCAUGUCAACUAUCGACACACAAUUGGGCUUCUCCAUAGGUUAUAGGAUUGUAGUUGCGCUUCUUCAUAGUUGUAGGUGCCCAAGUUGCAAGUCAAUCCUCGACUCGUAACUAGGGCUUUUUUGUAGGUUGUAGUUUCCCUAGUUGCAAGUCGACCAUCGACUCGCAAGUAGGUGUUGGUAAACGUUGAAUGGAAAAACAAAAAAAAUUCUAUGCACACGCAAGAUCUAUCCAUGUAGAUGCAUAUCAACGAGGGGGAGAGUGUGUCUACGCACCCUCGUAGACCAUAAGCGGAAGCAUUUAGUAACACGGAUGAUGUAGUCAAAUUUUCUUCGCAAUCCAACCGAUCAAGUACCGAACGUACGUCACCUCCGUGUUCAGCACACGUUCAGCUCAGUGACGUCCACACCUUCUUGAUCCAACAAGAGGAUGAGGUAGUGGAUGAGUUCCGGCAGCACGAUGGCGUGGUGACGGUGAUGGUGAUGCUAUCUCCACAGAGCUUCGCCUAAGCAGUAAAUAUGACCGAGGGUGUAAACGGUGGAGGGGGCGCCGCACGCGACUAAGAGAUUGUCGUGGUUAUGCGUGGCGCCCCCUCCCACAUAUAUAUAGGUUGGGGGAGAAGGAAAAGCCAAGGGGCGUCCCAAGUAGGCCGAAUCCUACCUGGGGUCUUUCCCUAGCCGCGCCCCCCUUACCAUAUUUGUCAGAGGGGGAAAGGAAAAAGGGGGAGAGGGAAGGAAGGGGGAGGCCGAAUCCCCCCUUUCCUUUCUCCCAUGGGUCAGCUGCCUUAGAGGGGACAUGCCAGCCUACCUAUGGGCUGGUGUGCUCCCCUCUAAUGGCUUAAUAGGCCCAUCACCCUCCCGGGGUGCCCAGUACCUCCUUUAGUAUUCCGAUGACUACCCGGUAUACCCCGAAACUCUUCCGGUGUCCGAAUAUCAUCGUCCUAUAUAUCAAUCUUUACCCCCGGAGUCUGGACCAUUUUGGAGCUCCUCGUCAUGUCCGUGAUCUCAUCUGGGACUCCGAACAACAUUCGGUCACCAAAUCAUAUAACUCAUAUAACACUAUAUCGUCAACAUACGUUAAGCGUGCAUACCUUAUGGGUUUGAGAACUAUAUAGACAUGACCGAGACACCUCUCUGGUCAAUAACCAAUAACGGAACCUGGAUGCCCAUAUUGGUUCCUACAUAUUCUACGAGGAUCUUUAUCAGUCGAAUCGUUAUGACAACAUAUGUAAUUCCCUUUGUCUGUCGGUAUGUUACUUUCCCAAGAUUCGAUCAUCGGUAUCUUCAUACCUAGUUCAAUCUCAUUACCGGCAAGUCUCUUUACUCGUUCCGUAAUACAUCACCUCGUAACUAACUCCUUAGUCAUUUGCUUGCAAGCUUCUGAUGUGUAUUACCGAGAGGGCCCAGAGAUACCUCUCCGAUACUCGGAGUGACAAAUCCUAAUCUCGAUCUAUGCCAACUGAACAAACACCUUCGGAGAUACCUGCAGAGCAUCUUUAUGAUCACCCAGUUACGUUGUGACAUUUAAUAGCACACAAGGUAUUCCUCCGGUAUCCGGUAGUUGCAUAAUCUCAUAGUCAAAGGAAUAUGUAUUUGUCAUGAAGAAAGCAAUAGCAAUAAACUGAACGAUCAAUAUGCUAAGCUAACGGAUGGGUCUUGUCCAUCACAUCAUUCUCCUAAUGAUGUGAUCCCAUUAUCAAAUGACAACACAUGUCUAUGGUUAGGAAACCUUAACCAUCUUUGAUCAACGAGCUAGUCUAGUAGAGGCUUACUUGGGACACAUUAUUUUGUUUAUGUAUUCACACAUGUAUUUAAGUUUCCAAAGCAUGAAUCAUAAACCUUUAUCAUGAAUAGGGAAAUAUAAAAUAACAACUUUAUUAUUGUCUCUAGGGCAUAUUUCCUUCACUAGGGACCCCUAGUUGCAAGUCAGCCAUUGACUCGCAAUUAGGGAUUUUUUUCGUAAUUAUAGUUUGCAAGUCCAACCUUUUUACUCACAACUGGGUUCUUUUCUGUAGUUUUGUAGCUUCGCCCUAGUUGCAAGUCCAUGUUCAACUCGCAGCACGGCCUGCUAGAAUAGAAUCAUUGUUCAUUUCCUAUGCUGCACAUCAGUGUCCAAUCUUCAUGUUCAGUGUUCAUUACUCCCUUGGCAGACCAAUGUUCAGUGCCCAUUUUUUGUUUGAUACAUGAUUGAACGUGUUUUAGACUUCCAUUUUUAUACAUCACUAAUCAAAUGACCGGGUUAAUUUUAGAGCGUCGACUGUUCUUAUUGUUUGCACCUAUUUUUUUGUUGAACCACUACAUAUGAACUUACUAGUACUAGACCUAUGACCAUUUUUUCACUACUUUCGAUGGAAUCAUAACAGCGGAAGUCAUGCAUUCGAAAUCUACCUAUAGAGUAUAGGCACUGGACAUACCUAUAAUAGGUAUUAGCGAAGUGUUGCCCGAAUUUUUUUAAUUGAUAACACUUUAGCUUUUGUUUAAUAUUUCUACAGGACUAGCUCAGAGUUUUGAUUUACAAGCGCAUGUGUUGUAUCUACUGUCAUUAUCAACUUUUAUUGUCCCAAACUAAACUUGAGAAACAAGCUUCCAUUCAGAUGCGCUUUUUUGGUUGUGCUUCUACAUGGAUAUGAACUACAGUGAAUCAAACACCAAUACUAUUGAUGAAGAUAGUAACAACUAUGCACCAGAUAUCGACACUGAAAAAAAUCAUGCAACGUCGAUCUUACUGAAACUGAUGUAUCGGACCACUUGUUGUGUGAGGGAAUGAAAACUUUGGUAAUAAUUUUCACUAUUUUUAUCAGUGUAGGAAAAAUUAAUAGCAUUUUUUUCCUGUACUCGCCUUGUUUGUUUCCUUUUUCGUUUCAAUUCAUACACUUCAACAUGAGCGCAAUGAGAGGAGAGAAAGAAGAAGGACCAUUCAAAAUCCAAACAAGAAGGUACCUACCUCUGUACCUUCUUUUUGUAGCUACUUCUGUACCACUCACACAACUAUAAACAAUCAGGAAAUUGCUCUUCCCUUCAUUUUCUCCCCCCCUUUUUUUUCCUGUUGCAAUACAAAGACCAAGAAUGUAGGCACAAACAAGCAAACAGGGACUGAAUAGGAAAGAGCGACAUCAUAUAGCAGGUACAACAUAAGAUACUUUUGAUGAAGUAGUCAAGGAUGUUUGUAAGAGCAACCAAAAAAUGGAGCUGGUGAGGAAUUCAGGUUUUGGCUACUUGCUUGAACUAGACGAUUGAUAUGUCCCAAGACAUUUUUCUCAAUGGGUUGCUGAUCACAAGAGCACGCAAAGAGGAAGCAAUUGUGUUCAAACAAAGUGCCUCUUUUUCGCCCACUUUUCCCCAUCUAACCUUGUUUGACAAGCAAAGUGCCUCUUUAUUUUUGCGAAGAGGCCCAGACUUGGGCGCAGUUUUUCUAGACACACAAACAACUUAUAUACCUCAAAAGGCCUAGAUACAAGGCCCAUGUAAAACUUUAAGGCAUGUGUCCACAAGGCCGAGGAGGAGGGGGCAUUGACAAACAAACAGACGUUUUGGUCAAGUUGGUGUUGAGAGGCAUGUUGGAGAACAUGGUGGAUUGUAUUGUGAUACAGCUCAUAGGAAUUGAGUUUCAUGUCUAUCAGAGCCUACCUUGCGGUUACACGGACAUUUGCGGAUCAGGUGUGCGGGAAGGUGAUGCAUGGCGCGUAUGUCUGGGUGGCACACGACAUUGCACAAUGUCCGGACUUGGAUUUGCAACUGCAAGUAAGUGAGUCAGAUCUCGUUAGGCAUUCAUCUCUAGCUACUCACUGCUGCCAUCCCUCUACAAAGAGUUGUUCUACGCCUACAGAAGUCAACUUAUAGGAUGGAGGGGAGUGGGCCCUCAAUGAAACACAUGGGAAGUGGUCGUGAGAUGUUAGUGAAAGGUUUAGCGUGUAGGGGGGGGUCCAUAGGUAAAUCAUCCAUAAUCAUAGGAUUUUUGCUCUACAACCCGAUAAGGUCGGUUGAUUGUGAACCCUCUUAGGACCCAGUCGCUCAUGUUUCACUAAUGUGUGGGCCUUGCUAGAAUGUGGGCACCCAUGGCCACUAGGGGUUGUUACCGCGCCACCGCUUCGUUCAAUCAACUCCACAGCUCGCUGCCCUCAUCUCCUCCUCCUAACCAACUUCCUCGUUGCCCUUCUCCUCGCACAACGCAUGCCAUGUCAACUUUGACGUCGGCUACUUCCUCGGCCUUAGAGCCACACAAUCACUCUAGUCACAUACCCUCUCCCUCUUAGUCAACAAUUCAACUUAUCGUCUCCCCAGUUGUCUGAUCCUCAUGAAAGCCCCUAUCCAUGACCACAUCCCUCCUCGCUGCACCAUGAUGAAUGGGUCGACUGCUAUGGUAUCCACAUGGCGAGCAUUAGAGGAGGCGAAGGAUAAGUUUGGCCAUUAACAUGACCUGAAGAAAGCACAACUGUAUGGCCAAUUGUGGGUGUGGAUGCAAGGGGUCUGAUAACCCACAAGUAUAGGGGAUCGCAACAGUUUUUGAGAGUAGAGUAUUCAACCCAAAUUUAUUGAUUCGACACAAGGGGAGCCAAAGAAUAUUAUCAAGUAUUAGCAGUUGAGUUGUCAAUUCAACCACACCUGGAUAACUUAGUAUCUACAGCAAAGUAUUUAGUAGCAAAGUAGUAUGGAAGUAACAGUAACAACGGCAAAAGUAACAAUAGCAGUUUUGUAGUAAUUGUAACAGUAGCAACGGUAAAGUAAAUAAGCAAAGCACAAUAUGUGAAAAGCUCGUAGGCAUUGGAUCAGUGAUGAAUAAUUAUGUCGGAUGUGAUUCCUCAUGUAAUAGUUAUAACAUAGGGUGACACAGAACUAGCUCCAGUUCAUCAAUGUAAUGUAGGCAUGUAUUCCGAAUAUAGUCAUACGUGCUUAUGGAAAAGAACUUGCAUGGCAUCUUUUGUCCUACCCUCCCGUGGCAGCGGGGUUCUAAUGAAAACUAAGGGAUAUCAAGGCCUCCUUUUAAUAGAGUAGCAGACCAAAGCAUUAACACAUAGUGAAUACAUGAACUCCUCAAACUACGGUCAUCACCGAGAAGUAUCCCGAUUAUUGUCACUUCGGGGUUGUCGGUCAUAACACAUAAUAGGUGACUAUAGACUUGCAAGAUAGGAUCAAGAACUCACAUAUAUUCAUUAAAAACAUAAUAGGUUCAGAUCUGAAAUCAUGGCACUCGGGCCCUAGUGACAAACAUUAAUCAUAGCAAAGUCAUAGCAACAUCAAUCUCAGAACAUAGUGGAUACUAGGGACCAAACCCUAACAAAACUAACUCGAUUACAUGGUAAAUCUCAUCCAACCCAUCACCGUCCAGCAAGCCUACGAUGGAAUUACUCACGCACGGCGGUGAGCAUCAUGAAAUUGGUGAUGGAGGAUGGUUGAUGAUGACGACGACAACAAAUCCCCUCUCCGAAGCCCCGAACGGACUCCAGAUCAGCCCUCCCGAGAGAGAUUAGGGCUUGGCGGCGGCUCCGUAUCGUAAAACGCGAUGAAACUUUCUCUCUGAUUUUUUUCUCCUCGAAAGCAAAUAUAUGGAGUUGGAGUUGAGGUCGAUGGACGUCCAGGGGGCCCACGAGGCAGGGGGCGCGCCCAGGGGGAGGGGGCACGCCCCCACCCUCGUGGACAGGGUGUGGGGCCCCUGACGCUAAUUCUUUCGCCAGUAUUUUUUAUUUAUUCUGGAAAUUUGCUCCGUGGAUUUUCAGGUUAUUCUGAGAACUUUUAUUUCUACACAAAAAUAACACCAUGGCAAUUCUGCUGAAAAUAGUGUCAGUUCGGGUUAGUUUCAUUCAAAUCAUGCAAGUUAGAGUCCAAAACAAGGGCAAAAGUGUUUGGAAAAGUAGAUACGACGGAGACGUAUCAACUCCCCCAAGCUUAAACCUUUGCUUGUCCUCAAGCAAUUUAGUUGACAAACUGAAAGUGAUAAAGAAAAACUUUUACAAACUCGGUUUGCUCUUGUUGUUGUAAAUAUGUAAAGCCAACAUUCAAGUUUUCGGCAAAGAUUAUGAACUAACCAUACUCACAAUAACACUUAGGGCUCAUGUUCACUCAUAUCAAUGGCAUAAUCAACUAUCGAGCAAUAAUAAUAAAUCUCUGAUGACAACACUUUCUCAAAACAAUCAUAAUAUGAUAUAACAAGAUGGUAUCUCGCUAGCCCUUUCUGAGACCGCAAAACAUAAAUGCAGGACACCUUUAAAGAUCAAGGACUGACUAAACAUUGUAAUUUAUGGUAAAAGAGAUCCAGUCAUAGUCAUACCCAAUAUAAACUAAUAGUAAUGCAUGCAAAUGACAGCGGUGCUCUCCAGCGGGUGCUUUUUUAAUAAGAGGGUGAUGACUCAACAUAAAAGUAAAUAGAUAGGCCCUUCGCAGAGGGAAGAAGGGAUUUGUAGAGGUGCCAGAGCUCGAUUUUAAAAUAGAGAUGAAUAACAUUUUGAGCGGUAUACUUUCACUAUCAACGUAACAACUAUGAGAUCUCGAUAUCUUCCAUGCUACACACAUUAUAGGCGGUUCCCAAAUAGAAUGGUAAAGUUUAUACCCCCCACCAACAAGCAUCAAUCCAUGGCUUGCCCGAAACAACGGGUGCCUCCAACUAGCAACAAUCCUGGGGGAGUUUUGUUUAAUUAUUUUGAUUUGAUUUGAGCAUGGGACUGGGCAUCCCGGUGACCAGCCAUUUUCUCGUGAAUGAGGAGCGGAGUCCACUCCUCUUGAGAAUAACCCGCCUAACAUGGAAGAUACAGACAACCCUAGUUGAUACAUGAGCUGCUCGAGCAUACAAAACAUAAUUUCACUUGAAGGUUUGGAGUUUGGCACAUACAAAUUUACUUGGAAUGGAGGUAAAUACCGCAUAUAGGAAGGUAUGGUGGAUUCAUAUGGGAUAACUUUAGGGUUUAUGGAGUUUGGAUGCACAAGCAGUAUUCCCGCUUAGUACAGGUGAAGGCUAGCAAGAGACUGGGAAGCGACCAACUGAGAGAGCGAAAACAGUCAUGAACAUGCAUUAAAAUUAAUCAACACCGAGUGCAAGCAUGAGUAGGAUAUAAUCCAUCAUGAACAUAAAUAUCAUGAAGGCUAUGUUGAUUUUGUUUCAACUACAUGCAUGAACAUGUGCCAAGUCAAGUCACUCGAAUCAUUCAAAGGUGGAUACCACCCUAUCAUACCACAUCACAGCCAUUUUAAUAGCAUGUUGGCACGCAAGGUAAACCAUUAUAAGCUCCUACUAAUUAAGCAUGACAUAAGCAACAAUAAUCUCUAAUUGUUAUUGCAAACAUGUUUAUUCAUAAUAGGCUGAAUCAGGAAUGAUGAACUAAUCAUAUUUACAAAAACAAGAGAGGUCGAGUUCAUACCAGCUUCUCUCAUCUCAAUCAGUCCAUCAUAUAUCGUCAUUAUUGCCUUUCACUUUCACGACCGAACGGUGUGGAUAAUAAUAAUAAUGCACGUGUCGUGGAAUUGUCACGUCAGAUGUCCUCUUGCAAGGACUUAGUCGUAGGGCCAUCGCAACUAGAAGCUUGAAGGGGUUAAUAGGGACAAACGACACGAGAGAGUUAUACUAGUUCGGCCCCUUACGUGAAGGUAAGGCCUACGUCUAGUUGGGUUGGUAUUGCUUGAUGUUUCGAUGACCAGGGAGCAAGAUAUGCUAUGCCCGGUUCUUGAUGAGUUGUUUCUUGCCCUAAGCUGCCAGCGGGUCGUCCCCUUAUAUACACGGGUGGACGCCCUGCGGCCUACAGAGUCCCGGCCGGCUCAUAGACAGUGUCCGGCUCGGUGACUGGUUAAAUCUACCUUAUGCUACAAGUCAUAUCAUCAUGGCGGUUUACCACUAUGGCCUUAAGCCUCCUGUGGGCCUUAAACCCUUUAUUGAACCGCCAUCUUCAUGCUUGGUCUUGGGCUUCUUCUGAUGAGUCUUCUUUGCGUAACCCGGCCCCUCCUGGGCGGCUUACACAAAUAGUUAUAUCCCCAACAGCACACACAUUGGACUAAGCUGGAAUCUGCAAGCAUUCAAUUCAAGGGAGAAGACAAGGUAAUAUGGGCUCUUGGUUAAAUCAACAAUAAUGCAUAUGAAAGCCACUAAACAUUUUCAUUAUGGUCUUCUCCUCUCGACCCCCAAAAGAAAGAAAAGAAAUAAAACUAUUUACACGGGAAAGCUCCCAACAAGCAAAAGAAGAACGAGAAAUAUUUUUGGGUUUUCUUUUAAUUACUACUACUACAGCAUGGAAAUUAAUGACUAAUUUUUUUUUUGGUUUUUUCUUAAGGUUUAUCGAACACACAAGAAGAAAGCUAGAAAAAGAAAUUAAACUAGCAUGGAUAGUACAAUAAAAGAGUAUGACCACGGACAACUAGAAUGAGUGUGUGAACAUGAAUGUAAUAUCGGUGAGAAAUACGUACUCCCCCAAGCUUAGGCUUUUGGCCUAAGUUGGUUCAUGCCCAUGGAUCGCGACUACUCUCCCGGUGUACUGAGGAGUGUCAUCGUACUGCCACUGGCUAGCGAUCCCCUCCGGAUCCCACUGAUAAGAUGAUGGACGAUAAGGGUCAAGUGGUGGUUCUGGAUCAGGCUCUGGGGAUGAUGUCUGGCCACGAAGCGCGUAGACGGCCUCCGGCAAGACAAUGGCCUGCAGUUAAAUCAAACAAAGAAGGCGCAGGCAGGAUAAUAAUCUCAUUGUGUUUCUUAUGAAAUCUCAAAUUAUACAGAAGCAUCUUAUCAUCAUUGUUAACAAUAAAUUCAUGUGCUACCAUGCUCUUAUAAUCUAGAAAAGUAGGGGGCAACAACUUUUCCUCUUUCUCAAAAUUCCUAAUGGGUAUCCUGAAAUGUUUAGCAAGGCAUGCACCAUAAAUACCUCCGAAGAUGGGGCCCUUUGUACGGUUUAGGCUUAAUCGUUUAGCAAUAAUAGCACCCAUACUAACAGAGUUAUCAUGGAAUAAAGCAUGGAACAAAAUAAUAAUAUCAGGAGCACUAAGGUUUCCACAGUUUCCGCGACCAAUUAAGCAUCGACUAGUAAAUAUUACAAAGUAGCGUAAAACAGGAAAAUGUAUGCUAGUAAUUCUUGCAUCGAAAACCUUCCUCGAUUCCCCUACAGUAAUAGUAUCAAUAAAACCAUCCACAUCUUUACGAUGUGGUUCCUCUAAGCUGCCCUCGAAGGGUAUUUUGCAAACCGCGCAAAAAUCACGUAAUGACAUCUCCCUAGCCACAUCAUAUAAAUGAAAAGCUACUGAAGGAGGUGAUUUCUUAGGAUAAUAGUAGAAGUUUUGCACGAAAGUAUUGGUGAGUAAGAGAUACUGUUUGAUCCGGUCGUGGAGGAAGUCGGUGAGGCCCGCAUUAUCAGCCAAAGAAUAAAAGUCAUCAUAAAUCCCGACUGCUCUCAAGAAUUCAUCACAAGGCCAUUCACACGGCCUUACUUCCGCUACACGAGGAAGAUUAUACUUGGCCUUUUCCUUCUCCUUAGCUUGUUUAUCCAAGGAGCCUUGGCUAGAAGAGCCCCUCAAGAACAAUCUCUUCAUCUUUUUCUGAAAAUUUCUAAAAUUUUUAGUAACUCAAAAUAAAAGUGAACCAAACUCAAUAUAAUUGAUAACAACUACUCCCACAAGUGCCUAGAGCCUAUAUCAUGCAUUAGAAUUAUUUGGGACCACAUAAAUUUGACAUGUAAGCUCAAGAACAGGGUCACCUAGGUAGAAUUUUUUUGCAAUGAAUAAAGCACUAGAACAAAAACUAAUUGGACCAUUGGAGGAGUCACAUACCAAAGAACAAUCCCCCAAAGCAGUUUUGUGAAUGGAGCUUUGAGCAAGGAGAUCGAAAAUGGCAGCAAAUUGAGCUAGAACUCGUGCUUGAGCUGGAUGGUGAUUUUUUUGCGAGGAAGAAGAAGUGUGUGGGUGCAGGAAUAAAUGGAGGGGGGCCACCGUGGGCCCACGAGGUAGGGGGGUGCGCCCUGUAGGGGUGGGCGCACCCUGGACCCUCGUGGCCAGGUGCCAUCUCCCCCUGAUGUGUUCUCAGUGCCAGAUAUUCUCAAAUAUUCCAGAAAAAAUUAUAUUAAAUUUGCAGGGUAUUUGGAGAACUUUUAUUUUCGGGGUAUUUUUUUAUUGCAUGGAUAAUUCAGAAAACAGACAGAAAAUACGUCUUUUACUUUAUUUAAUCUAAAUAACAGAAAGUAAAAGGAGGGUAUAGAAGGUUGUGCCUUCUAGUUUCAUCCAUCUCAUGCUCAUCAAAAGAAAUCCACUAAUAAGGUUGAUCAAGUCUUGUUAACAAACUUAUUCCGAAUAACAUGAAACCGGAGAAAUUUUGAAUAACACUAGGUUACCUCAUCGGGGAUAUGAACAUCCCCAAUAAUAAGAAUAUCAUAUUUCUUCUUGAUAGUAGGAAGAGGAAAUUCAAAACCUCCAAUAAUGAUAGUUGGAAUUUUUCCAAUAGAAUUGAUGCUAUGAACUUGAGGUUGUUUCCUUGAAAAGUGUACCGUAUGCUAAUUACCAUUAACAUGAAAAGUGACAUUGCCUUUUUUGCAAUCAAUAACAGCCCCUGCAGUAUUCAAAAAGGGUCUACCAAGGAUAAUCGACAUACUAUCGUCCUCGGGAAUAUCAAGAAUAACAAAGUCCGUUAAAAUAGUAACGUUUGCAACCACAACAGGCACAUCCUCACAAAUACCGACAGGUAUAGCAGUUGAUUUAUCAUCCAUUUGCAAAGAUAUUUCAGUAGGUGUCAACUUAUUCAAUUCAAGUCUACGAUAUAAAGAGAGAGGCAUAACACUAACACCGGCUCCAAGAUCACAUAAAGCAGUUUUAACAUAGUUUCUUUUAAUGGAGCAUGGUAUAGUUGGUACUCUUGGAUCUCCAAGUUUCUUAGGUAUUCCACCUUUAAAAGUAUAAUUAGCAAGCAUGGUGAAAAUUUCAGCUUCCGUUAUCUUUCUUUUAUUUGUAAUAAUAUCUUUCAUGUAUUUAGCAUAAGAGUUCACUUUAAGCAUAUCGUUAAGCGCAUAUGUAAGAAGAUAGAUCUAAUCAUUUCAGCAACGCGCUCAAAAUUCUCAUCAUCCUUUUUCUUGGAUGGCUUAGGAGGAAAUGGCAUGGGUUUCUGAACCCAUGGUUCUCUUUCUUUACCGUGCUUCCUAGCAACAAAGUCUCUCUUAUCAUAACGUUGAUUCUUUGAUUGUAGGUUAUCAAGAUCAACAUCAGGUUCAACCUCUACAUCAUUAUUAUUGCUAGAUUGAGCAUCAACAUAAACAUUAUCAUUAACAUUAUCACCAGGUUCAUGUUCAUCACCAGAUUGUGUUUCAGCAUCAGAAAUAGAAAUAUCAUUGGGAUUCUCAGGUGUGUCUACAACAGGUUCACUAGAAGCAUGCAAAGUCCUAUCAUUUUUGUUUUUCUUUCUUUAAGAAGAACUAGGUGCAUCUAAAUUAUUUCUCUGAGAAUCUUGCUCAAUUCUCUUAGGGUGGCCUUCAGGAUACAAAGGUUCCUGAGUUAUUUUACCUGUUCUAGUAGCCACUCUAACAGCAAAAUCAUGUUUAUUAUUUAAUUCAUCGAGCAAAUCACUUUGAGCCUUAAGUACUUGUUCUGCUUGAGUGGUAACCAUAGAAGCAUAUUUACUAAUGAGUUUAAGUUCACCUUUAACUCUAGCAAUAUAAUCACUCAAGCGUCCAAUCAUGUAGGCAUUACUCUUUAAUUCUCUACCUACAUAAGCAUUGAAAUUUUCUUGUCUAGCCAUAAAGUCAUCAAAUUCAUCUAAACAUUGGCUAGGAAACUUAGUAGACGGGAUUUCAACUUUAUCAUACCUAUAGAGAGAAUUUACCUUUACUACCUGUGUCGGGUUAUCAAGACCAUGUGUUUCUUCAAUAGGUGGUAAAUUAAGGCCAUGUAUUUCUUCAACAGGAGGUAAAUUCUUAACAUCUUCAGCUUUAAUACCUUUUUCUUUCAUAGAUUUCUUUGCCUCUUGCAUAUCUUCAGGACUGAGAAAUAGAACUCCCCUUUUCUUCGGAGUUGGUUUAGGAGUAGGCUCAGGAAUUGGCUCAGCAAGAGUCCAAUUAUUUUCAUUAGUCAACAUAUUAUUCAAUAACAAUUCAGCUUGAUCGACCGUUCUUUCCCUGAAAACACAACCAGCACAACUAUUCAAGUGGUCCUUGGAAGCAUAGGUUAGUCCAUUAUAAAAGAUAUCAAGUAUUUCAUUUUUCUUAAGAGGAUGAUCAGGCAAAGCAUUAAGUAACCGGAGAAGCCUCCCUCAAGCUUGUGGGAGACUCUCUUCUUCAAUUUGCACAAAAUUAUAUAUUUCCCUCAAGGCAGCUUGUUUCUUAUGACCAGGGAAAUAUUUAGCAGAGAAGUAAUAGAUCAUAUCCUGGGGACUACGCACAAGCAUCACCCUUUAAUGAGAAUGGAAAUAUCUUAAGGAUAUAGUAGUAGCGGGAUUUCUCAUCAUUAGUGAACAGGGUGGCUAUAUCAUUCAAUUUAGUAAGAUGUGCCACAACAGUUUCAAAUUCAUGGCCAUAAAAAGGAUCAGAUUCAACCAAAAUAAUUAUCUCAGGAUCGACAGAGAAUUCAUAAUCCUUAUACAUAACAAAGAUAGGUGAAGUAACAAAAUCAGGGUCAUAUUUCAUUCUAGCAUUUAGAGAUUUUUGUUUCAGUUUAACUAAUAACUUCUUAAGAUCAGAUCUAUCAUUGCAAGCAAGAAUAUCUCUAGUAGUUUCUUCAUCCAUAACAUAACCCUCUAAAACAACAAGCAAUUCAUAUUUAGGGGGAGAACCUUCAUCAUCACUAUCUUCAAUAACUUCAUUUUCAACAAUUUCAUUCUCUCUAGCCCUAGGAAGUUGUUCAUCAAGAAACUCACCUAAUGGCACAGUAGUUUCAAGCACAUAAGUAGUUUCAUCAUAAGUAUCAUGCAUAGUAGAAGUGGCAUCAUCAAUAGCAUGCGACAUAUCAGAAUUAAUAGCAGAAGUAGGUUUAGGUGUCGCAAGCUUACUCAUAACAGAAGGAGAAUCAAGUGCAGAGCUAGAUGUCAGUUCCUUACCUCCCCUCGUAGUUGAGGGAUAAAUCUUAUUUCUUUCGUCUUUCAAGUUCCUCAUAGUGAUCAACAGAUAUAAAUCCCAAGUGACUCAAAGAAUAGAGCUAUGCUCCCCGGCAACGGCGCCAGAAAAUAGUCUUGAUAACCCGCAAGUAUAGGGGAUCGCAACAGUUUUCGAGGGUAGAGUAUUCAACCCAAAUUUAUUGAUUCGACACAAGGGGAGCCAAAGAAUAUUCUCAAAUAUUAGUAGUUGAGUUGUCAAUUCAACCACACUUGGAUAACUUAGUAUCUGCAGCAAGUAUUUAAUAGCAAAGUAGUAUGGAAGUAACGGUAACAGUGGCAAAAGUAACAGUAGCAGUUUUGUAGUAAUUGUAACAGUAGCAACGGUAAAGCAAAUAAGCAAAGCACAAUAUGUGAAAAGCUCGUAGGCAUUGGAUCAGUGAUGGAUAAUUAUGUCGGAUGCGAUUCCUCAUGUAAUAGUUAUAACAUAGGGUGACACAGAACUAGCUCCAGUUCAUCAAUGUAAUGUAGGCAUGUAUUCCGAAUAUAUUCAUACGUGCUUAUGGAAAAGAACUUGCAUGACAUCUUUUGUCCUACCCUCCCGUGGCAGCGGGGUCCUAAUGGAAACUAAGGGAUAUUAAGGCCUCCUUUUAAUAGAGUACCGGACCAAAGCAUUAACACAUAGUGAAUACAUGAACUCCUCAAACUACGGUCAUCAUCGAGAAGUAUCCCGAUUAUUGUCACUUCGGGGUUGUCGGAUCAUAACACAUAAUAGGUGACUAUAGACUUGCAAGAUAGGAUCAAGAACUCACAUAUAUUCAUGAAAACAUAAUAGGUUCAGAUCUGAAAUCAUGGCACUCGGGCCCUAGUGACAAGCAUUAAGCAUAGAAAAGUCAUAGCAACAUCAAUCUCAGAACAUAGUGGAUACUAGGGAUCAAACCCUAACAAAACUAACUCGAUUACAUGGUAAAUCUCAUCCAACCCAUCACCGUCCAGCAAGCCUACGAUGGAAUUACUCAUGCACGGCGGUGAGCAUCAUGAAAUUGAUGAUGGAGGAUGGUUGAUGAUGACGAUGGCGAUGAAUCGCCCUCUCCGGAGCCCCGAACGGACUCCAGAUCAGCCCUCCCGAGAGACAUUAGGGCUUGGCGGCGGCUCCGUAUCGUAAAACGCGAUGAAACUUUCUCUUUGAUUUUUUUCUCCGCAAAAGCAAAUAUAUGAAGUUGGAGUUGAGCUCGGUGGACGUCCAAGGGGCCCACGAGGCAGGGGGCGCGCCCCGGCGUGCCCCCCACCCUCGCGGACAGGGUGUGGGCCCCCUGACGCUAAUUAUUUCGCCAACAUUUUUUGUUUAUUCUGAAAAUUUGCUUCGUGGAUUUUCAGGUCAUUCUGAGAACUUUUAUUUCUGCACAAAAAUAACACCAUGGCAAUUCUGCUGAAAACAAUGUCAGUCCGGGUUAGUUUCAUUCAAAUCAUGCAAGUUAGAGUCCAAAACAAGGGCAAAAGUGUUUGAAAAAAUAGAUACGACGGAGACGUAUCAGGGUCAAAGAAUAGGUAUAAGAGAUGGUAAGAAUGGCGAAAGACUACAUAUCUUAGUUACCAGAAGUUGGGUGAUCAAAGCAAUCUACAUGAUGCAUCUCUGCCUACGUAGCUUUGCUUACCAGAAGUUGGGUGAUCAAAGCAAUCUACAUGACACGUCUCUGUAUAUGUAGCUUUGCUUAGCAUAAAUUGUUCUCAUGACUUUCUUCUAGCCCAUGAACCUAUCGUCAAUGUAAUAUAUUAGGCUAUGUAUGAGCUAUUUCCUUAUGUUUAAAGAAUAUCAGUCUCUAAAUAUUCCAACUUGCAUGGUUUGACGACAUGAUUUACUCACGCCCUUUGCGCCAUCGGUGCAAUGGGUCAUCUAGUAACCCUAGACAAAAGAUCGAGGUCCGUAGAGGGAGGAGCGGCGCAUGGUUUUUCUUUCCUUUUGUAAUUAUUUGUAAAGAGAUAUACCGGCGAGAGGGGUGGUCGGAGAUGGGACGAAAAAAAAACCGGAUGGAAAACCCCGGUGUACCAAGCUACCAACUGCUUCAUUAAAAGUAGAGAUGAGGCCGAUAAUAGAAACCAAAAAUAGGUAAUAAUUAAUUGUGGCAUUCAAUAUAUACUAUACGGGCAUAACCUGCAUGCCAGCUCAGACGUCAUAAUUUUAAUAGGGAUAAUAUUUUAUACGUAUUAAUACUUUCCUUCUCAAAAAUAAAAUAUUAGAUAUACAUUAAUAUUAUCCCUAAAUAGGUCCGUUUGAUUAGUAUAUAUAUGCCAUCUUGUUGCCUUAGCAACAGAACAUUAGUCCGUUACAUCAAUAUCUCGAUAGCUUGUCCACUAUAUUGUGAAGGACGAUGUCGAAAGUUGUGGCAGUAGUGAUGGUUCUUAGUUUGAUGAUGACCAGCUCGGCCGAACACCAGGAGCGAGUAGUGGUAGCUAUUCCAAUAGAAGGAACCAGUCAAGGAUGGGUGCGCUAUUCGGAAACUCCGACGUACUCUACUACAUCGCCGUCACUCGAUGGCGCACAUCCCAAUUGUGGGGGUCGUGACCCAAAAAAUUGCCCUCCGCCUCCUGCAUGGUGACAAGUUGUACUUUUUGUGAUGCUUGCUGUGCUGAAUAAAACAUUGUCCAUGCUAUUGUUUUCUUAGGAGAGUUCUAAUACUACAUUUUUUCGACUUCAACUUUUCUCUCGGUGUUUUCCUUGUAUUAAAUAUGAAAAAACAAGUUCUUCAGCUACUGCAAAAAAUGAUAUAGCCGGGGGCUCAUCAGGGACAUGCACAUAUAUUGCUCGUCACCGAUAACUUGAAAAUUUACGGGUGGCAAACAAAAUUCCCUGUUCACCGGUGGUAAGUGCUUACCGCUGGUGAGCCUUGAUAACUAGACAGUACCCCCACGUAUUGCAGCGGGAUGGUAACAAUUUAAAAGAGAGGGGCACACGGUAAGGAGAAAACAAGUAA
rnacentral:lncRNA from 1 species